GAGUUUGAUCGUGGCUCAGGAUGAACGCUGGCGGCGUGCCUAAUACAUGCAAGUCGAACGAACAGAUAAGGAGCUUGCUCCUUUGACGUUAGCGGCGGACGGGUGAGUAACACGUGGGUAACCUACCUAUAAGACUGGGAAUAACUCCGGGAAACCGGGGCUAAUGCCGGAUAACAUGUUGAACCGCAUGGUUCUACAGUGAAAGACGGUCUUGCUGUCAC
rnacentral:rRNA from 1 species